rnacentral:rRNA from 1 species
UACGAAGGGGGCUAGCGUUGCUCGGAAUUACUGGGCGUAAAGGGCGCGUAGGCGGCACUGUUAGUCAGGCGUGAAAGUCCUGGGCUCAACCUGGGAACUGCGCUUGAUACGGCAGAGCUAGAGGAUGGAAGAGGGUCGCGGAAUUCCCAGUGUAGAGGUGAAAUUCGUAGAUAUUCGCAAGAACACCAGUGGCGAAGGCGGCUCACUGGCCCGGUACUGACGCUGAGGCACGAAAGCGUGGGGAGCAAACAGG